UGUUCCCGUGUUAAUAACUGCUGCCUGGUUGUUUAUUUCAAUGGAGAUCCUCCCCCAACUCCCUCCUCCUCCUCCUCCUCCUCCUCCUCCUCCGCGUCUCCGCACUUGCGGAGAGACAGACAGCGCGAGCUCGCGAGCAGGGGAGGGGGCUCGGGAGCCAGGCCGUCCCUCCCUCUGCCUCCCCGGCAGUGGCCGCCGCCAAGUCCUGUCACCGGGAAAAGGACGGGGCGGAAACUUGCCUCUCGCGCCCCCGAGGAAGGGGCAAAGGUGGACGCAGGGUUGUCCGGGGAGCAGCCCCUGGCCGCGGGGUCCGCAGCAUCUCCGUCGGCAGAGUCCUCUGAGAAGGCGGCCCGGGGAGAGGUGAAGAAGAGUAAGGGGACAGGGGACAAAAUGGGUGACUGUGGUAGAGGGAGGGUGACCUAGAGGUGACUGGAACUGAAGAGAGAGUCAACAGAGGACUGCAUGGGAGGGCAAAGGGCAAUGCCAAAAAGAAAACUAGCGACUGGGACGGGCCUGGGCCGCUGAGUUAGAGGCAGUGGGGCCUGGGGGCUGCAGACGGCAGGGACGGUGCCCCAGGACGAAGAUCGGGGAGAGCCGAGUUCCAGGGUCGCCAGCAGAGGACCCUCGCGCCCGUCCGGCCGGACCCUUCGGCCAGCACCCUGCACCCCCUCGGGCGCACCUCACCCUACCCAACUCCCGGUCCUGCCGCUGCUCCCCGGAGGCGCCCCGCAUCCGUCAAGUCCCCUACGGCUCCAACAGGGAGAGGCUUCUCCCAUUGCAGUCCUAGCUCCAGAGGGGAUGGAGAGGCGCGACUGUGGGAGCUGGAAGGGGCACCACCCGGCAAUUGCGGGAUAAAGCAAAUGCUGCACACAGAGUGUGAAACUUAACCUGGUUGAGAAUUUUCGGCACAUCAUGAAAUCAUAAGUUUGUAUUGGAAAGUCCAUUCUCUAGACAUCCGUGAACAAAGUACUGAGGGGACGUAGGAGAUUGGCACUGAAAAUGCGAGAACCCCCAUUUAAGUGUUACUUAGACCAAUCUGUUUUACGCUUUGGAAAAGCAAGUUUUUUUUCCAACUUAUACGGUAAUUAGUUGAAAAAAAAAACUUUUGUUUAAUGGCAGUUAUCAAACUAUGAGAGGAACAUAUUCCCUGAUUUUAAUCUUAUAAUGAGAAAGGUCACUUGCGGUAGACAAUAAGAGUGUUUAUUGAACACUUACUGUGAAUCUGACUGUGCUAGGUGAUGUAUAUAUGCUAUAGGCCUUAAUCCUCAAACCUUCCGAAGUCAUUGCCGCUUUUCACUUCACACAAAAAAUUGAAGCUUAAAGUAAUUUGCCCAGGGUCACAGCCAGUAGUUGGAGAGGAUGUGAGCCCAGUUCUGGUGAGCUCCAAAGCCCAUGCUUUUAAACAUGUCUUCAUCCUAAAAUUUGUGGGUGUACCGCCAAUUUUAUUUGGGAAAAGAAUAAAAAAAAUGUGUGGGGUGUGUGUGUCUGUGUUUGUUUGUGGAUAGAAAAUGCUUGGAAGCCUAUAACAACAAAUGUUAGCGCUGGGGAGUGUAAGAAGUGGGUGAUGAGGCACUUCCACUUUUUAUUUUGC
rnacentral:lncRNA from 1 species